rnacentral:misc_RNA from 1 species
GUUAUUGGAGUCAUACUAUUUUUAUAAGGUCUUAAAUUCAAGUUAUAGUCAAAAUCAAUUGUACUAAAAAAAUAUUUUAUAAUAAAAAAAAAAAAUGUACAACAGACCUGCAUUGCUAAAUCCUGUCAAGCCUCCUCCAUAUAAAAUGAUCAGAAACAUGUUCCUGUCUCCCAAGUUAGUUUAAUUUCUUUUUUCUUUCCCCCCAAUUAAAAGAAAUAUACCGAAAGAUAAAAAAGAAAUUAAAAAAAAUGAUGAAAAAUUGCCCAUCACAGUUCUUGGAUUUUGAAAAUAAUCUGCCUAUCCACAAUCUGCUGGAUUCCAUUUUCAGCAAUAUUAUAAUAUUCAUCUCCAUCAUCUUCAACUUUAAUGGCAAUGUUCAAGUCAAGUGAGACAACUUGAUUUUUGUCUUCUGAUUCAUUUUCUUCAUCCUUGUUACCUUCUUUUUCACCAAUUUUUAGCCUUCUUGGGGGUGAACAGCCUCUUGACACCGAGCUGAAACUUUCGCAGCUGAAAAUGAUAAUGGCAUCUUUCAGAGGAACAUUAUCACCAUCAGGAAGUGCUAAUCUUCCACUUUCAAUUGCUUGCUUGAUAGCUUUCUGAGAACAGUAAUCAACUUGCUCCAAAUCUUCCAUGAAGAACACACGGUGUGGAUUCUCAUUCAAGGCCAAGCCAAAUCUCUCAUGAUAGCUGCUACCCAACUCAUCUCUUGGUCUCUUGUUCUUGAAUUCCUCAGUUGAAUCAGCUCUUGUUGAUGAGAAAUUGCUUACACCAAUCGACGCGUAGUUGGCUUGAGAGCCAAAAACCAGUCUGGCUAACUCCCUUGCAAUUUUCUCCUUUCCUUCAGAAUCAACACCUAAGAAAAAGAGCCAAGUUUCUUCCCUUCCUUCUUGGUGAUUCGACUUGCAUUUUCUCUUGCUCAUUCCAGAUCUGCAUUCCAGUAUGGUCUUUACAAUUUCAGGAAUAACAUCUUUUUGCCAGGGAACUUUUUUCUCCAAGCUAUUACAUAGAAUCUUCAUGUAUUGAUCAUUGAACUCCUUGAAGCUUUGCGGGCCUUCUGCAUCAUCCAUCGCCUCACUUGAAGAAGCUGAAUUUGGGCUAGAAUUAGGGUUUGAUAAAAGUUCUGGUUUGGGAACAGUAAUCAAAUUGCUUUCAGGGCAUUCAUUGAUACAUUCAGGCAUCCAAAUCUUCUGCUCUCGUGGAAACUUCCUUGGCUUGAAAAUGUCUGGCCAGCUUAAAUGUGAUUGAUUUAAGUUGUUGUUGCACUCUUGGGAAGAUAUUGAGAUGGGUGAACCAGGAGAUGAAGCAAAUUUUAUGGUUUUCUGAGAAUAGUAAGGCUCUUUGUGAACUGAACUACAAAAUGAGUUCCAUUUCUUGCUGAGAUUACUUGUAUCAGUACAUUCCUUAUCAUCAAUGGUGAUUAUCCUGGUCUCUUCCUCGUGCUGGUGGAGCCAUGAGGGCAAGCUUGGGCUAGUGGAAACUGUAAGGUUGGUAGUAAACUCUUUGUUCAGAUCACUGGGAUCUUCUCUAUUGAAAUGGAUAGAGCAAUCUGUGCAGCAAGUUAACUGGUUAUCCACUGCAGAUUCAAGUAGUGGCCAACUAUAUCCAUAGGCUGAUGCCUUGCUUCUGGACGACGAUUGCAAAUCAAUGUCAAGAUUGAGACUUAGGCUUAAGCUUCCCACUGGAAUAAUGAGAGGAUAUAGUUCCCAAAUAGUCUCAAGAGAAGGGCGGCCCGCUUUACACUUCAUGUAAGUUUGGAAAGUAGCAAUUCCCAAUAGCCAUAAUCUUCCAGUUUCGCCAAUUCCACGAACUAAUCUUCUAAUCUCCAUGACCAUGUGAUUCACAGAGCAGCAGUAGUUUCUCCUUUGCUGAUCACCAUAGUUUGACCAAAAAUCAGAAACCCAUUUGAGAUCACCCAAAUAUAAAACUACCCCUCUACUGAUAUAGCUUUUCACAGUGCACCUAAGCUCCACAAGCUUCUGCUCAACCUCCUCUUUUGGAAGAUAUCUCAAAGAGAUUAGAGGAAAACUUAUGAACCUCAUAGACCUCAACUCCACAGGAGUAAGACCUCUCUCAAUCUUGUCCAUGACUCCUUUAACAACAUUCUCAGUACUAGAUGGACACUCUCCUAUAAUAACUGUGUUUCUCUUUUUGUCUGCUAAUGUGUUCAGAACAGUCAUAACAUCAUCAUUAUUACUAACUUGAUCUAAUGGCUUGCUUAUUGUGGCUCCAAAGUGACUAAAAGUUAGAGAUUGAGACACAUUGUUAGUACUAAAAACUUGAGGUUUGGUGAUUUCUUUAGACGGGCAACUUGUAGGAGUAGUACUUUGAGAACAGAUCUCCACAGAAACAGCCUGUUCUACUUUGUUCUUAACUUGGGUACUCGAGAAACCAGCUUCCCUCAUGACUCUACUAACACUAGGAUCAUCAAGAACAGAGAUUAUCAGCUGCUGUAUCUCAAUCUUCAUAGCUAAAAUGGGUUGUUGCUGGUUUUCAAUGGAGCCUCGCCGUUGGUGAGCCUGAGCACGCUUAAAGGCAGCAACCAAGGCAUUGGACAGAGAAGGAUAAGAGGAGUGAGGCCCUAAUAGGGCACUAGAAGUGGACGCAGGGAGGCGAUUUAGAGCCACAUUGAAGCAAAGCUCUAGGGCCUUGCACUGGAGAGGAUGGGAGUGGCAGUAAAGGCAUGCCCUUCUAAGUUGGCCAUUUGGGGAAGCAAGCAUAGCACUUGCGACAUGGAGAGGAGUGACUUGUGCAUGGCCUCGCCGCCUGGCCAGGCUAACAGCUUGUUUCGUUAUACUUGUAGCCUCAGCAGUAAGAGACUGCUGCACACUGCAAAUUCCCGCCCUCAUGUUCUUGGAAAUUGACUCUUUCUUUUCUUAUGUGAGAACAAGAAUUAAUAGUUUUCAAGGAUAUGUAGCUUGUAACUGAACUCUGAAAGAAUUUGGUUUCAUGGGUAUGUUUAGUUAAGAAAUUGCGAUAACUAAUAAGGUAUAUAAAUGUGUGGAACUAAGCAACAAUUCUGGUUUAUAUUUGAUUAUUACAAAGGGAAG